ensembl:lncRNA
CAAACUAAGGGUAAGUAGGCCUUAUUAGAUUUGAACGUGUAAAUGAAUUACUUAUUAACAUUAUAGACCUAAUCUAUUCCAUUUUUUUGUAGCUUUCAUUGACUAACAUUCCAUAGCAAUUCAACCCUCUUCCUCUAUCAGUUCAUAACCUAAAGAGGUGAGAAGCUAAUGUCACCUUGUUUUUGUCAGAGUAAAGAGGAGCGUAUUCUGGAGCUCGAGACAGAAAAGGCAAUUCUUCAUUUGAGGCUUGCUGAGGCCAAAACACUACUUCAUCACCAGAGGGAAGCCCAGAGCAUCACCCAGUUGGCUCUGGGGAAGCUCCUUGCUGAAGUCCAGAAUUUGAAGCAGGUCUUGAGUGAGAUCUUUGCAGUGUAUGCUAACGGCGUGGCCGAGCUGGAGGGCAAUAGCAAGCAGAUCCUGGAGAAGCUGGACGGGGCCAGGGCACUGAACGGUUGCCAUGGAGAUGACCUGCAGAGAGCUGAGGGGGAACAUCAGGGUUCACUGUAGGGUCCAGUCCUGCUCAUCCCCAUCAGGGGUGAUCUCUUCAGAGGAGGUCAUUCAUGUCAGCGAGGACACCGUGUUGGUGAACUGCAGUCCAGUCAUCAACAAGGUGUUUGAAUUUGAGAGAGUGCAUGGACCGGAGGACUCCCAGAACGUAGUGUUUGAGGAGCCUCUCCUCACAUCCCUACUGGAUGGGUAUAAUGUGUGUAUAAUGGAAAAACCCACACCAUGAUGGGCUCCCAGGGGCCCCCCAGGUCCCCUCAGCCAGGGGCCCCCCAGUGUGUCUCCUCCCCCGGGGACCAGCAGGGCAUCAUCCCCCAAGCUGCUGCGGAGCUCUUCAGGCUUGACUACUGCAAUGGUCUUCUCUACGGCACCACCAACAAAGUCCUCAAAAAACUUCAAUAUGUCCAGAACUCAGCUGCACGCCUCCUCACUGGUACCCGCUCCAGAGAACACAUCACACCUGUCCUCCGUGAACUCCAUUGGGUUCCAAUUAAACACAGAAUCAACUACAAAAUCUUACUCAUCACCUACAAGCCUACAGCCUAGCCCCCCUCCUACCUUGCCGACCUCCUCCAUCACCACGCCCCUUCCCGAUUCCUCAGGUCCAAUUCUGCCAACCUGCUACAAGUUCCACGGACUGAGCGACGGACUUGGGGUGAUCGGGCCUUCUCAGUUGCUACCCCCACCCUUUGGAAUUCACUCCCCUCCCACAUCAAAGUCUCUCCAACCCUCACUUCUUUCAAAUCUGCCCUCAAAACAUACCUUUUCACACUAGCCUUCCCCACCUAACUCCCACCUUAUUCUUCAUGUUUAACCUCUGUUUUUCUUUUAUUCCUAGUCUGUCUUACAUAGUUUUGAUAGGGCAAUAUGUAAAGCGUCUUAGAGUACCAUAUUAAGCGCUAUAUACAUUUCAUUUAUUAUUAUUAUUAUUUUAGAUAUUAUAUAGCCUAUUUGUUUUGUUAAAUGACAGAAAGCCUAAUAAGGUAUGUUAUGCACGUUAUGCAUGUUAUGCGUAAUUUGGGGCGUAUUCAAAUAAUGUAUUUUAUAUAUUAUACAUAGCCUUUUUGUUUUGUUAAAUGUCAUUAAGCCUAAUAAGGUAUGUUAUGCACAGUUCUUCGUUAUAGAGUGAUAUAGGUUAAUAUAAGUGCAUGAUGUGGAAGAAUUUGUCACAGUGGUACAAGCGGUAGUGACGCCUGGUUAGUAAUCAAGAAGGUGGUUGUUCGAUUCUCUCCGGGGUCAGAUACAUUUCUGCUCAAACUUACUGACGCAAUCGGCCUCUUUCUUUUGAACAUUUUUGUAUGAUUUAGUACGAUGGUAUGAUAAUUAUACGACGUAAUGACGGGCUGCGACGCCUGGCUGAUAUCGGCUGGCUGGCUGCGACGACAGGCCAGCCAUGGCUGGCCGCUGUCUGCCGCUGGCUGCUGGCUGCGGCUGGCAGCUGGCUCUGGCAGGCUGACCGACUAGGUCGCGACCAUAAAAGCGUCGCGACCCUUUUGGCGGCAAAUAGGUCGCAACCAACCAGAGGUAUGGCUGAAUGAGCAACCUGUGGCAGCCAGCCAUUGUCACCAUGGCUGCUACCAUAACAAAAAGCCUAUAUGUUAUCAGUUAACAUCUCAUUGAACAGAAUAAAUACACUUGCGUCAGUAUAAUAAAAACGUACAUACAAUAAUAUAUAGGCUUAUUGGUCUAUCCAUCUAUAUUUAAGUAAUACAGUGAUGUGUACAAAUUUAUAUUGAUUAUAUUGUAUAGCCUAUUGAUCUGUUAAAUGUCAAAGACUAUUAAAAUAUCCUAUGAAGAAAGUUAUAGUGUAUUAUACAACGGGGGCCUAAAUCCAGAGAUCUGAUUGGUUCCUAACUGUUGUAUAAUGAGCAUAUACAUAACUGCUAUGACGCCCGAUCAUUUUGUGAAAGUAUCACUCCGCGCCUUGAAGUGGAAACCGUUACAACCGUUCUCUCGGAGGGACGCUAAAGUGUGUUGCAUAGCGACCGUCGUGCAUUUUGAAGGCAGCCAGGAG